GGCUUUAUAGUCAAUAAAUGAUAUUAGACUGCAAUUCUAAAGUAGUAUUAAUAUACUAAAGCUU
rnacentral:tRNA from 1 species